GAUGAACGCUGGCGGCGUGCCUAAUACAUGCAAGUCGAGCGAAGAGAUGAGGAGGUUUCUCCUCUUACGUUAUCGUCGGACGGGUGAGUGAAACGCGUAUAAAAUACCUAUAAGACUGGGGGAACUUAGGGGGAACGGAGCGAAUACACGGUAAAAGAUUUAACCUCGUGGUUCAAGAGUGAAAGAAGGUGUUGCUUACACUUAAGGAUGGAUCGGCGCCGCAUUAGCUAGUUGGUAAGCUAACGGCUUACAAAGGCAACGAUGCGGACCCGACCUGAGAGGGUGAUCGGCAACACUGGACCUGAGACACGGUCCAGCCUCCUCCGGGAGGCAGAAGUAGGGAAUCUUCCGAAAUGGGCGAAAGCCUGCCGGAGCACCGCCGCGUGAGUGAUGAAGGUCUUCGGAUCUUAAAACUCUGUUAUUAGGGAAGAACAAAUGUGUAAGUAACUAUGCAAGUAUUGACGGUACCUAAUCAGAAAGCCACGGCUAACUACGUG
rnacentral:rRNA from 1 species